rnacentral:tRNA from 1 species
GGCCCUGUAGUUCAACGGAUAGAACGGAAGUUUCCUAAACUUUAAAUACAGGUUCGAUUCCUGUCGGGGCUACAA